GCGCCGUUGCUUAGCAACGGAGGUUGGCGUUGCCCGGGGAAUUGGAUCCCUGCUCCGCUGCGGAAAGCGGACCGCCGGGACAGACUUGCUCUCAAACUUUUGUGGGCGCUGCUUCUCGGCGCUGUAGCUUUGCUUAUUUCUGUGGGCUUUUCUUGCCGUGUUUUUUUUUUCCGGAUAGCUCCUGAAGCCCAGCCGAGUCCCAGAGCCAUGGAGGUAGCGAUGUCUAAGGACCUACAACAGGAGGCCAACCUAGCCAAGAAGCGGUACAUUGACCUGUGCAGGCAGGGACGGAUCUUCGACGCCAGGAACAGGAUCAUUGGGGGAGACACACAAGCCUGGGAUUUUCAAGUCCGUGACCAGAAGAUAAAAGAAAUAACUGACAAAGCUAGGCAUGAAGCCUUUGCUGCUGAAAUGAAGCACAAUGACAAAGUCAUGUGCAUGGCGCAUGACCGGGAACAGAGGCACAGGAAACAGCUGUGUAGAGCUAUCAAUGACUUCCAGCAGAACUUUCAGAAGCCAGAAACUCGACGUGAGUUUGAUCUUUCUGACCCCCUGGCCCUCCAGAAAGAGCUUCCAGCCCGCAUUUCAGACAAUGACAUGCGGAACACCAUAUCAGGAAUGCAGAAGUUCAUGGGAGAGGAUUUAAACUUCCAAGAGAGGAGGAGGUUCCAAAAGGAACAGAGCAGAGAAUGGUUUCUGCAGCAGCAUGGGGAACGGGAGAAAGCCCGGGCUGACCACCUACUGGCAGUGUCUUCACAGGAUGAAGAUGAGAUUGAAAUCAUCGCACAGCCUACAGGUUCUCCAUGCUGGGCCUUUGCCUACCUGGACCACACCAGCUCGUUCAUGGCGUUUCAAACGUUGUGGCUCUUUCACCUUGAGCUUCCAUCCUGUCUCUCCCACCUCAGGUCCUCUGCACCUGCCCUGACCAUUUAGUCCUUCAGAGAUGAAUAAACGUGGUCUCCUAGAGAAGCUCUUUCUUGGGCCCUAUCCUCCAACCUCCCAAGCCAGGCAUUCCCUGUAUUCUCUCUCCCCCUCCCUUUCCUCUAUGACUAUCACCCUUUGUUUAUCUCGUUUCUCUAUGUUAUGUAUGCGUCCUGAGCAAUAUGGGGCCCUAUCUCUGCUCUUUGUCACCCUCUGGAACAUGGAUUAGCAAAUGAAGAAUGAGCUGAGGGUGAAGGUGUACUGAGGCCAUAGAGUCAAGGCUAAAGAGACUGUCCCUGUGGGGCUGGGAUGUAGCACAGUGUUGGAGCGCUUGCCUAGCAUGUGAGGCCCUGCAUCCCCAGCACAAGGAAGAGGCUGCGUCCUUUGGUUUGGGAAAUAUGAUGGAGCCCCUCAAAGCACAAGCACAGAAAGUCACUGCUGGCCAGUGACUUUCCCAGUCUAUCGCACACCAGCCCUGAGCCUCACAGGCAAGGGUGGGGCACAGAGGUUAACCAACAGCUGCUGUUAACAGUGCUGGGCCACAUCUUGAAGCCUGUUCUGGCUACAGGCCUUUACACUUCACUCCUCGUGCCCGUGACCUUCAUCCUUCACUGGCCCAGCAAAGUUCUGCUACUGCUCCACAAGUAUCUGUGACCUGGCGCUCUACCCUGGGUCUUGACUGGUUUCCGUAGCCUUUUGUCCUGGGUUCCUACCACUUCUUGCCUUUGUAAGGCUGAAACCAUCUCCUGAUAGGCCAAAGUUAGCAAGGCCUAACUAAUCUACCUCAGGACUGCUGCAGAUAUCAUGAAUUCACAACAAAUAUCAUCGAUCCAUAGAGAUUGCUUUAGUACCCCUUGCUCACAAAGAUGUAGGAGCCACACUUAAAUCUCCUAGAACCUGUGAGGCAUAUACACUCCUCUCCCUCCACUCACUCCCCCCCUUCUCUCCCAUGGUAAGGGAUGAGAGUGAAUCACCAUUGGGUGGUGCUUCUGGGUGAUGGCAUCGUAUCUCCUGGCAGAACACCUCCACACUCAGACGAGACUCAAGUUUGAUGAAACAGCCAGAGAGUUGAUGAAGCUGGAAGGCUCCACCAGGAAGGAAGUCUGCGCAGCCGUGAAAGCGUUCAACAAGAAUCAGCUUCAGAGGAUUAUCACCGUGAUGGGAGCGCGGCAGCACGCAUGGUUCUGGAGAAGUCGCUGAGAACUUUUCAUCCGGAUCCGCAGGCGCUGAGAGACAGACACUGGGCCUGGUGUGGACACCUCCGAAUCCUUUUGAUCCCUUUGGGAGCCAUUCUUAUUCAAACUACUAUAGUCUUCCCACCUCAAAUGAUCUCCCCUCACCCCCGCGAAAAAGUCCCUCGCAGCUUGAGUUUUAGUUAAGUCCAGAUGUAGUCAAAUUGACAACCAAGAGUAACCAUCACACCACCUCUUGACUGUACAGAGAAAUACCUAUAGUCUAGAGAGGGCAGGCGACUUACUAUACAACUCACACAAUCCCUCACCGCCGGGCUUUGACUGGUGAGUGAACAGGAACUCAUUUGUAACCGGAGCCAUGCUGAAACUGUCUGGACUGCUGGGGCAGCAGUGCACUUCCACCCUUAGAAGUCACCCUGUGUUGGCUUGUUGUGCACAAGUAUCUAAGAGUUUUAGGGAACACGGGGUGCACUGCCUAGAGACAAGCCAGUGGGGCAGUGUCUUGCUUUGACAAGCUGGUAUAGAAAUUCACCGUUGUACACACUGCUGUGGGGAAUGACCCAAGGCCCAGCCACUGCCCAACAGUGCUCUAAUAGCUGGGGUCCGCAGCCUGCAGCCAGGGCUUCAGAUGGGAGGUCUUGACCCUGCAAACACUCCAGCGUAUUCUGAGGUCCUUCCCUGUACAGGUUGUGGAGUUGACAGAAAGAAAGAGGCAAGAGAAGCAACAAGAACAAGAAGACAACAUGACCGAGAUCACCAACCUGCUGCAUGGAGACCUGCUUUCUGAGAACCCUCGACCGGUGGCCAGCUCCUUUGGGUCUCACCGUGUGGUCCUUGACCGCUGGAAGGGCAUGAACCGAGAGCAGCUGGAGGAGAUCUGGUUCACGCAGAAGCGGCAAAUCCAGGAGAAGCUGAGGCUUCAGGAGGAAGAGCGCCAGCACAGCAUGGACUGGGAUUUGCGCAGGAUCCGGAAGGCUCAUGCCAGCCUGCUGCAUGAGCGGCAGCAGCAGCGCUUGCUUCGGGAGCAGCGCAGGGCCCUGGACUGCAGCAACCUCAACCUGGCCAGGCAGCAGUACUUACAGAAAAAACAAAUGAAUACAGCCUCCUCAAGUCAGCCCACAGAAGACUAUUUCUCACAGUUUAAUACAAGGAGCCGCUGAGAGAACCGACUGCUUUCCUUGUUUAUAGUAGUUCCUCUAGGAGUCACGCUUAUUUCAAAGUGAAUCUGCUCCUUGGUCUGAACACCCCGUAUGGGCAUGUGCACAUGCGGUCAGGCUCUGCUCUGGGAAGAGCUCUAACAUGGCUUUGGGUGCUGUGGACAUAGGACACAGUGAACCAUUCCAGAGAGGCUACACUGAGGCCUGUGUGCUGCUCAAGCUCCAAGCUGGCUGCUCAGCCAUUCUCUGACUCAGUGACUGACCAUCAUAGGUGUUGUUCGUGUGCCCCAUGAAGCACUUCUUCCUCAGCUUCUCACCCACCAUAAAGAGGCACCAACCUGCUUACCA